rnacentral:rRNA from 1 species
GCAAGUCGAACGAGAAAGGGAUUGCUUACAAUCCUGAGUAGAGUGGCGCACGGGUGAGUAACACGUAGAUAAUCUACCUUCAAACCCGGGAUAACUGCCCGAAAGGACAGCUAAUACCGGAUGAAGUUGGUUCACACAAGUGGAUUAAUGAAAGAUUGCCUAUCCUUGGAAGCAAUUGUUUGGAGAUGAGUUUGCGGACCAUUAGCUUGUUGGUGGGGUAAAGGCCUACCAAGGCUGCGAUGGUUAGCUGGUCUGAGAGGAUGAUC